CAAGUCGAGCGAGAAAAGGGGAGCAAUCCUCUGAGUAAAGCGGCGCACGGGUGAGUAACACGUGGGUAAUCUGCCCUGGAGUGGGGAAUAACACCGGGAAACCGGUGCUAAUACCGCAUACGAUAACGAUGUCUGCGGACGUUGUUAUGAAAGGAGCAAUUCGCUCCAGGAGGAGCCCGCGGCUGAUUAGCUAGUUGGUGAGGUAAUGGCUCACCAAGGCAACGAUCAGUAGCCGGUCUGAGAGGACGGUCGGCCACACUGGAACUGAGACACGGUCCAGACUCCUACGGGAGGCAGCAGUGGGGAAUUUUUGGCAAUGGGGGAAACCCUGACCAAGCAACGCCGCGUGGAUGAUGAAGUAUCUCGGUACGUAAAAUCCUUUCGACAGGGAAGAAACCGCAAGGUUGACGGUACCCGUAGAAGAAGCCCCGGCUAACUCCGUGCCAGCAGCCGCGGUAAUACGGGGGGGGCAAGCGUUGUUCGGAAUUACUGGGCGUAAAGGGCGCGUAGGCGGUUUGCUAAGUUGGACGUGAAAACUCUGGGCUUAACCCAGAGCCUGCAUCCAAAACUGGCAAGCUGGAGUAUUGGAGGGGGAAGCGGAAUUCCUGGUGUAGCAGUGAAAUGCGUAGAUAUCAGGAGGAACACCGGUGGCGAAGGCGGCUUCCUGGACAAUAACUGACGCUGAGGCGCGAAAGCUAGGGGAGCAAACAGGAUUAGAUACCCUGGUAGUCCUAGCCCUAAACGAUGGAUACUUGCUGUGAGGGGGAUUGAAUCCCUUCGUGGCGAAGCUAACGCAUUAAGUAUCCCGCCUGGGGAGUACGGUCGCAAGGCUGAAACUCAAAGGAAUUUGAC
rnacentral:rRNA from 1 species